rnacentral:rRNA from 1 species
CCUACGGGAGGCAGCAGUGGGGAAUUUUGGACAAUGGGCGCAAGCCUGAUCCAGCAAUGCCGCGUGAGUGAAGAAGGCCUUCGGGUUGUAAAGCUCUUUUGUCAGGGAAGAAACGGUCUUGGUUAAUACCUGGGGCUAAUGACGGUACCUGAAGAAUAAGCACCGGCUAACUACGUGCCAGCAGCCGCGGUAAUACGUAGGGUGCAAGCGUUAAUCGGAAUUACUGGGCGUAAAGCGUGCGCAGGCGGUUGUGUAAGACAGGUGUGAAAUCCCCGGGCUUAACCUGGGAAUGGCAUUUGUGACUGCACGGCUAGAGUGUGUCAGAGGGGGGUAGAAUUCCACGUGUAGCAGUGAAAUGCGUAGAGAUGUGGAGGAAUACCGAUGGCGAAGGCAGCCCCCUGGGAUAACACUGACGCUCAUGCACGAAAGCGUGGGGAGCAAACAGGAUUAGAUACCCUGGUAGUCCACGCCCUAAACGAUGUCUACUAGUUGUCGGGUCUUAAUUGACUUGGUAACGCAGCUAACGCGUGAAGUAGACCGCCUGGGGAUACGGUCGCAAGNUUAAAACUCAAAGGAAUUGACGGCNGAGAGNGCGAGACGACGACGAGGGAGGAGG